AAUUAUUUCUCCUGUUUUUGUCACGUUGUAAUGAAUUGUAAAUUAAAAGGCAAAAACAGUAUGCCAGUGGGAAUGUAUGCACUAAUAUAUAUAUACCGCUAAAACGUAUCUUUAGGAUAAAAAUUCAAACUUAACCUUAAAGCGUUUGCCUCCACUGAAAAAAUCAGCUGAUUUAAAAAAAAACUAACCUAACACUAAACAUAACCUACAAAACAAAAAUAUUUUUUUUGUAUUGUUUGUCCGGUUUAUAAGCAUAAAGUCUUUUUUUUGUAUUAGUUUAAAGGGUUUAUAAGUAUAUGGUCGGGUGUCCCUUGCCUUAAUGGGGUUUAAUGUGGAAAAGUGAAUAAAUUUGUAUACCGACGAUGGCAAGUGAUAGUAGCAGUGAAGAAGACUCAGUUCCCUGUCACUGGGGCGAAAUCCCAGAGAACCCACGGGAAACCGAUCAUCAGUUCCCCGAUAUUUCACAGGAUAUCAAGAGGAGCAUGCAGAAAACUUGUCUCGAUUCAUACCAAGAGACUGAAGAGUUCGUUUUGGAUGAAAUCAGGUUACCUCCUUUGGACCCUCUGGUCUUACAUGCCAUAAAGCUCCACAAAUGGAUGAAUAAUAUGUUAGACACCAUACGGUUAGCAGAAGUUGCUAAAGAAACCAAUGUGAUGACUGAAGAUGUGAAAAUUCCUAUUCCAGAAAUGCCUGAGGUCAAAUUGAGACAUAAAACGAAUAAGUUUAAUUAUAUGCCUGCCAGAUCAAGCAGGGGGCCAAAUCCGGAGGAUGUGGAGCUUAUAGGCCUGCUACCAGACUUUUCAGAUCAAGUGAUAAAGAUUAUUUUAAGAAAGAGUGUGGCAAUUUUGUUUGCACAAAUAGGCUUUGAAGAGUCUUCCCAAAGUGUUUUAGACACAAUGGUAGAUGUACUUGAAGAGUUUUUUCUUAAAAUAUGCAAUAGAAUUGCUUCUGCUGUGCGAGAGGAAGACGAGCUGAACACAGGGGGAUUCCCAAAUGUUGCUGAAAGGGCAUUGGUGGAAUUGGGCUUUGGUGGAGCCAGGAAUCUACAUAAUUAUUACCAAAGUAGAGUGGUAAAGUAUGUUCAGGUGUUGCAAAAACGAUGCAGGGACUUGGAAAGGUAUUAUUUGUCCUUGAUUGUCCCUAAAAGUGAUUCUCCCUCUGGGGAAAUCGGUGCUUUUUGUUGAAUAUAAAAAAAGAAACUGAAGAUGAUGCAGAGGAAACUUGUACCGAGGGAGAUCUUAUUACAAGCAGCUACAAAUUGUUGAUUAACUUAGAGUCUGCAAUGGACACGAUGGAUGAUUUGUCUGAAGGGGGAGGAGAGCAACAUCAAAUGCAGGAUUACAUGUGACCAUUUUUGAGUAUUAAUUUAUUUUUUUUGUAUUGAAUAAAUUUUGUUUUAAAUGUGA